AUGACGGAGGCCCGCCCGAGCACGAGCGGCCCUUGCAGCCCCAUCGCCUCGUUGCGGGUGGAGCCGUCCCGGAAGAUCACCUGGAACUCGCCGGGUCCCAGGACCGACGCCUCGACCGCUCCUUCUUCCACCCCGAAGCGCGCGGCGAAGGCGCGCGCCACCUCGGACGGCUCCGGCUCCGAUUGGAAGCCGACGAUGACCGCCACCGCCCCGCGGCGAACCAGGUCCCGCUCUUCCAUCGCCAUGGCCGCGGCGCGCGGUGCCAAUGCUGGGCGCGCCUCCGGAGAGCUGCCCGGGGCCUCCAUCUUCCUUUCAAGCACCGGUAGAGCGGUGGACAGGCGGGGUGGAGCAGGCGGCGAGCACUCAGUGACCCGGUGA
rnacentral:rRNA from 1 species